rnacentral:rRNA from 1 species
UACGGAGGUGGCAAGCGUUGUUCGGAUUCACUGGGUGUAAAGGUCAUGUAGGCGUCCAAUUAAGUCGGAUGUGAAAUACCUUGGCUCAACCAAGGAACUGCAUUCGAUACUGGUCGGAUUGAGUACGGGAGAGGUAAGCGGAAUUCCGGAAGUAAGGGUGAAAUCUGUAGAUAUCCGGAAGAACACCAUUAGCGAAGGCGGCUUACUGGUCCGAUACUGACGCUGAAAUGAGAAAGCUAGGGGAGCAAACAGG